rnacentral:rRNA from 1 species
CGAACGGGUGAGUAAUGCGUGACCAACCUGCCCCAUGCUCCAGAAUAGCUCUUGGAAACGGGUGGUAAUGCUGGAUGCUCCAACUUGACGCAUGUCUUGUUGGGAAAGUGUUUAGUGGCAUGGGAUGGGGUCGCGUCCUAUCAGCUUGUAGGCGGGGUAAUGGCCCACCUAGGCUUCGACGGGUAGCCGGCCUGAGAGGGCGGACGGCCACAUUGGGACUGAGAUACGGCCCAAACUCCUACGGGAGGCAGCAGCC